rnacentral:rRNA from 1 species
UUUUAAAUGGCCGCAGUAUUUUGACUGUGCAAAGGUAGCAUAAUCAUUAGUUUUUUAAUUAAAAGCUUGUAUGAAAGGCUGGACGAGGUAAAAUCUGUCUCUAUUUAAAUUAUAGUAGAAUCUAACUUUUAAGUUAAAAGGCUUAAAUAUUAUUAAAAGACGAGAAGACCCUAUAGAUCUUUAUAGUUUAUUAAAUUAAAUUAAUUUAGAAAUAUUAAUGUUUUAUUUAGUUAAGUUAUUUUAUUGGGGUAAUAAAAAGAUUGAAUUAAUUCUUUUUUAUAAUAAACAUUAAUUUAUGAAUAUUAAUGAUCCAGUUUUACUGAUUAUAAGAUUAAGUUACCUUAGGGAUAACAGCGUAAUUUUUUUAGAGAGUUCAUAUCGAUAAAAAAGUUUGCGACCUCGAUGUUGGAUUAAAGAUUAUUUUAGGUGUAGAAGCUUAAUAAUUUUGGUCUGUUCGACCAUUAAAUCUUUACAUGAUCUGAGUUCAGACCGGCGUAAGCCAGGUCGGUUUCUAUCUUUAAUAAAAUAAAAUAUUUUAGUACGAAAGGACCAAAUAUUUGAUAUAUUUAUAUUUAAUUUAUUGAAUAUUA